GCACCACCUACCACCAUCAUCUCAACCUCACAUCUCUCCAUCCAAUAGCUAAAAGCUCAAAAGCACCACCUUCAUGGUGCUUUUGAGAGUAUUCUAACUCAACUUUAUAUAUAUAUAUAUAUAUAUAUAUAUAUAUAGCGAGAGAGAGAGAGAGAGAGAGAGAGAGAGAGAAUUGAGCUGGAAUGCUAUCGGUAGCAAACGGGCUCUGUUGCCACCCAUUUGUUUUUGAUGAUGGAGCCUUCGAAUCGACGAUCGGCACCGUUGAACAUGAUCUAUACUACUUGAAGUAUCUAGAAACCAAAUUUCAAAUCUUUUUGAUAAUAUUGACCUAAUGAUCAAAGGGUUUUAAAAUUUGUAAUUUCAAUAGUAGAUAUGACAUGGUUUCACGUUUAAUAGUGUAAAACUAUCCAAAUCAAUUGAAUUUUAGUUAGAAAAUUCUUUAAACUAUUCAGAACAAGAUCUAUACUUUCGAUCUUGAUUAUAAAAUUCCUAUCAUCAUUUUUUAGAGGAUAUUCAUUUUCAGCUGUUCAUUUUUACGACAUUUGAUGGAUAAGAGAAUAAUAUUGAAAAAGCAUAAAAUUGAUUUCUAGAUACUUCAAGUGGUAUAGAUCAUGUUCAACGGUGUGAAUCGUCGAUUUGGAGGCUCCGUCAUCGAAAACAAAUGGGUGGCAACGGAGUCUAUUUGCUACUGAUAGUAUUCAAGCUCAACUCUAUAUAUAUAGAGUUGAGCUUGAAUACUAUCGAUAGCAAACGGGCUGUAUUGCCACCCAUUUGUUUUCGAUGAUGGAGUCUCUAAAUCGACGAUCGGUACUGUUGAGCAUGAUCUAUGCCACUUGAAGUGUUUAGAAAUCAAAUUUCAUACAUUUUCGAUUUUAUUUUCUUAUCCAUCGAGUGGACACAAAAAUGAACAGCUGAAAAUGAAUAUUCUUUAAAAAAUGAUGAUAGGAGUCUUGUAAUCAAGAUCAAAAGUAUAGAUCUUAUUUUAAAUAGUUUAAAGAAUUUUCUAACAAAAAUUUAAUUGAUUUGGAUAUCUUUACGCCGUUAAACAAGAAAACACCUCAUAUUGACCAUUAAAAUUACAAAUUUUGAAACCCUUUGAUCAUUAGGUAAAUGAUGUCGAAAAGAUUUGAAAUUUGAUUUCUAAACACUUCAAGUGGAAUAAAUUAUAUUCUAUGGUGCCGAUCGUCGAUUUGGAGGCUCCAUCAUCGAAAACAAAUGGGUUGCAACGAAGCCCGUUUACUAUCAAUAGUAUUCUAGCUCAACUCUCUCUCUCUCUCUCUCUCUCUCUCUCUCUCUCUCUCUCUCUAUAUAUAUAU
rnacentral:lncRNA from 1 species